rnacentral:rRNA from 1 species
GAUGAACGCUGGCGGCGUGCCUAAUACAUGCAAGUCGAGCGAACAGACGAGGCUCUUGCUCCUCUGACGUUAGCGGCGGGCGGGUGAGUCACACGUGUAUACCCUACCUAUAAGACUGGGAUCACUUCGGGAAACCGGAGCUAACACCGGAUAAUAUAUUGAACCGCAUGGUUCAUUGGUGAAAGACGGUUUUGAUGUCACUAAUAGAUGGUUCCGCGCCGCAUUAGCUAGUUGGUACGGUAACGGCUUACCAAGGCUACGAUGCGUAGCCGACCUGAGAGGGUGAUCGGCCACACUGGAACUGAGACACGGUCCAGACUCCUACGGGAGGCAGCAGUAGGGAAUCUUCCGCAAUGGGCGAAAGCCUGACGGAGCAACGCCGCGUGAGUGAUGAAGGUCUUCGGAUCGUAAAACUCUGUUAUUAGGGAAGAACAAAUGUGUAAGUAAAUAUGCACGUCUUGACGGUACCUAAUCAGAAAGCCCCGGCUAACUACGUG